CAUAGUUUAACUGUUGGCUUGACCACAUUAGGACAUGUCUUUGCAAUGGGGAGUACCGUUUAUGGUCAACUUGGGAAUCCUUAUGCUGAUGGGAAGCUACCUUGCUUGGUAGAGGAUAAGCUUUCUGGAGAAUCCGUUGAAGAAAUUGCCUGUGGUGCAUAUCAUGUUGCGGUUUUAACAUCGAGGAAUGAAGUUUACACAUGGGGAAAGGGUGCCAACGGGAGGUUAGGCCAUGGAGAUGUUGAAGAUCGUAAAAC
rnacentral:misc_RNA from 1 species